rnacentral:lncRNA from 1 species
CUGGAAUUCUUCCCAGGGCCAGCCCUACCUCAAAGAGUGUGGUUUGCUAUUUUUCACCUAAGCAAGAAAAGGACUAAGAGCCCACAAUCCCCUACCUCAACCAGCAUCUAUGAAGCAAGAAGAUCUCUGACUGGGAACUGUGUGGUCAUCUUUGAGAAACCACAACUGAAGCUGAGAGUAUGAGGGAUGGGGGAGGGGCACCUGCAAUUGCAGGGCUGGAGGCACAGGGAGCCCGAAGCAGCUCAGCUAUGCGGGUCCAAAGGCCUCAGUUCCCUGGGGCCUGACUCAGGCAGCCCCAGAACAGGUUUAUGUGGGUGUUUUUUUCUCUCUCCCCAUGUGUGUGUGUGUGUGUGUUUUCAUGUGUGUGUGGAGGCCAAAGGUUAAACUUGGGUGUCCUCUCCAGCCCUCCUGUAACUUGUUGUUUGAAACAGGGUUUGCUACUUUGGACUUGAACUGGUCUUUUUGGCUAGGCUAGACAGCCCAUGUGCUCCUCCAA